AAGGUUUUAAGUUAAUUAAACUAAUAAUCUUCAAAAUUAUAAAUAAAGAAAAUUCUUUAAGCCUUA
rnacentral:tRNA from 1 species